CAGCUUGUGGUUCGGACGGAGACGCAGGGCCUACUGGGUCCCUGCUCCUGCUGGGAGGUCCUGCGGGCAAUGAGCUGUGUUAGAAGCCAGGGGUUGCCGACGAUGGACAUGAAACAGGGUUGACGGAGGUCGAAGGAGCACAUGUCUGCUUGCAGGGCACGCCAGGUCCUGAUGGACACUGACGUCUAGACCUAGACGGUGGCUCAGCCUGAACCCUGGACGGCCUGGAGCACAGCCAUGCAACUGCUUCUAAGACAAAACCGAGCAGGAGCAUCUGCCAACGUCUCCACAUUGUGGACCUGAGAUUGUUCUCCGGAAGCUGCAGUCGGAGCAUCGCCAGGCCCAGCCCUGGGUCCUCCACCCGGGCCACUGCCUCUCAGGCGGCCUCUCCCUGCCCCCGCCCCUCCGGGGCCCCACAGGGCGGCCAGUGCAGACCUGGGUGUGCAACGGCCCCAUCAGCGUUUGUUUCAUGAACAAAUAAAUGUCUAA
rnacentral:lncRNA from 1 species